rnacentral:lncRNA from 1 species
GGGUCAGAUAAAUAUUGAAAGCAGAGUCAGGAAAAUUUUCUAAGGAAAUGGUUGUGGGGGUUAGAGAGAGAAGAAUCAAGUAUGGCUCCAAAGAUUUUGGUCUAAGCAAGCAAUAUCUGGCUCUUGGUUGUCAUCACAUCGUUUCCUCUUGUUCUAGAACCCCUAGACCAUGAUAAGUCUAUUUUCUCACACUGCUUUUUAGUUGAUCAGAGUCCUUUGCUACAUACAAAAUUGCAAGUGACAGCAAUCACCCCAAUUCCUCCUCCUUGUACCUCCAUUCCUGCCUUGCUUCACUCCACCUACAACGAAUCCACCUGUUCCUGCAGUUGCCAACUGAAUUGGCAGGUCUGAAUUAAACUGCUGGGUUUGACAUUUAAAAAAUGGAGUUUUCAGUACUUCUGGGUUCUCCUUUUAUUAGGCUAAGCAUGAAGGCUGCUAAUAUUCACCCCACUCAUCGCAAGACACAUGAUAUCUAUGACAAGGCUCCUUAAAAAAAUAGCAGUAAGGCUUCUGGGAUUACUUAAACUACUGCAUGUGUUUCUUAAAAACAAAUACGAAAGGUCAAAUGUUGCUGAGUGUCAACAUUGCCCACAGAAAAAUAUCAUUAUGCAGCUUUCUGGAAUGUGGCAAAGUCACUGGUGUCCCAGUCUGUGAUGCAUAAUCAUAAUUUUCAUGACCUAUGCUCAACCUUAGAACAGUAAUUUUUCAGUUUUCAGUACAUGUCUCCAUUACUGGGGUUUGGGGAGAGAGGUAGGAGAGACAGAAAGGGAUGUUUUAAGGAAGCAGAUUCCUGGGUUCUAUUCUCAGAAAUUCCGAUUCACUACAUUUGGGUUGAAAUCCAGAAAUAUAAACUAGGGAUAUGGAUUUUUAACACGUACUUUAUGUGAAUCUGAUGCAGUAAUGUUUAGAUCACCCUUUGAGGAACACAGCUAUGAAGGAGUACAGCAAAAGUUAACCACAAGGUGCUCCAAAGUACCAUGGUACUACAUGCAUACCUAUUAGAGAUGCCAUGUACAUUCCAGAACAGAGCUGCAUGCACUCUGAUAAACAAUUGCUUGCUAUUAUUGUCUUUGACCAUAAGAAUAUGCAGAAUAAUUUUUUCAAUGGUAUUUUAUUUUCUCUACUCGUGAUAUAUUCCUGGAUAUUUCAGAAAGUCUAUGUCCCCGUUUUUACUUGUGCCAACAUAUAAGCUGAGUUGGAAUACUUUUCUCAAGUUUACACUGCCUAUAUUCUUUUAAAUAAAACUGCUUAGAAGAGUGACACCAGAAAUUCAAAAAUAUUUGUCAUUGAAAAUCUCAAAUCUUGCUAGGAAAUCCUUCUAAAUGUUUGAUAUUAGUGAUCAUCUUAACUCUUUUGUGAGCUGAUAAAACCGCAUCUCAGGCAAAGUGGAUCCAGCUGUGGGAGAGUGGGGGGGGGACUGACCAACAAAGUUUCCUAAAGUUGUUGUUCCUGUUUAUCUCUAAGGACCAGCUCUAGGUUUGUUUUUAAGUAUCUCCCUCCAGUCCUAACUUACUAAGUAAAAGCUAAUAAUCCUUUAGGGCCCAAUAUCCCAUGUAUUAUUCCUUUUUCAUACUGCUAUAAAGUACUGCCCGAGACUGGGUAAUUUAUAAAGGAAGAGGUUUAAUUGACUCACAGUUCAGCAUGGCUGUGGAGGCCUCUGGAAACUUAAAAAUCAUGGUGGAAGGUGAAGAGGAAGCAAGACACUUCCCCCUCAAGGCAGCAGAAAAGACAAGUGCAGAGUAAAGGGGGAAGAGCCCCUUAUAAAACCAUCAAAUCUCGUGAGAACUCACUCACUGUCACGAGAACAGCACAGAAAAAAACCGCCGUCAUGAUUCAAUUACCUCCACCUGGUUUCUUCCUUCAUAUAUGGAGAUUAGGGGGAUUACAGUUCAAGAUGAGAUUUAGGUGGGGACACGAAGCCUAACCAUAUCAUUCCACUUACUCCAGGAAGAAAUUUUAUUGCUUUCUGCAUUCUUGAUGUUCAUUCCAAAUAGAGCAAUAAUUCUCACCCUGGGCCAUAACUGGAAUCACCUGGAGAGGGUUUAAAACUACCGAUAGCUGGAUUUCUCACCCUGACAUCUGAUUUAGGGUAACUGUUUUCAGCUUUGCAGUUUUUGGACUCAUGGAAGUAAGCAUAAGUUUGAAACUAAAACCAAUAUGAAUACAGACCCAUAAUUGGAAUUCUUAGUGAGUCUUAUUUUUCUCCUAAGUUAAGACUGAGGCUGACCUAUUUAAUUGUCAUCUCCCUCUACAGGUGCUAUCUCCAACUUAGGAUAUGUUCUGAUGAUAUAAUUCUACUGACACAAAUAGCAUACUAAAUUGUGAAUAUUUUACUAAAGACCUUGUGAGUACUUUAAUAAGAUACAUUUUAUUAUUUUGGAAAUUAAAUGUAUUAACUCCGAGGAUAAGAAUUUUUCUGUCCCUUAUGGUGUGUGUCACUUAGUAGUACAGAAUAUACCAAUGAGUAAAAAAGUUAUUAAUGCUUCCUGCCUUUAUGCUAAGGUAGUCAGUAUCAUUCCCCUGUGUAACACAAUGCACCAAGUUAAUAAAGGAAGUUUACAUAAAUUUCAUAUCACUUGCUUUCAGUAUUUUUUUGUACUAAUACACUUUAUUUUUGAGUUAAAGUAUUUUGUUUUGUGUUAGGGUCUUUUUCACACCUUGGUUAUAUGUGAAAACAAGUCAUCUAGAGAACACAUGGUGUGAAACUGCAAAGAGAACAGUGUAGAUAGUUCUUUAAGUAAAACUGAGUUGUUCAUAGUACAGGUUGUUCAUGGUUACACAGUCAUGGAUUCUUGAAAUGAGUGUCUUCUUAUUAGCUGGGGGAGUUGUUUUGAGGGAUUUCUCUCUUUUAUAAGAUAAGCUUUACAUUCUUUCAUAUGAACAUGACUGAACAUCGAGUGUGAAUAAUCUUCAAGCCCACAGCCUAAUUGUUCUCCAUUCACACAUAUUUAUAGACUUCGCAUGUCACCCCUGGGAUGCUGGUAUACUGAGUAUGUUUCCUAUUGGGAAAUGUUAAGUGCUCCCGGGGAGAAACUAACAUAGUCUAAAUUUGGUGGAAUAAAUGCUACAUUUUUAGGGAGAAUUAACUGUUUUUGCAAAGACUUUAAGAAGUUCGUUAGUAUUCUUGGUAUUUGAUAUGAAAGGACACACACUCCUAAAUUAUUCAUGUUACAUAUUUACAUGAUAAAUAUUAAUUUUAGGUGAAUUAGUUACCUCCAUAUCUAUUGACCUUUGCUUUGGCAUUUGCUUUAGUCUAACAACUACAUCUUAAUAAUGAUAUUCUUGCAAUAUUCCUUCUUUUUCUGUGACUGUUUUUGGUGUCUGCAGUGAUUUAGCAGUGGUUGGGGGGAGCUCUAAAAGAAAAUGCUUUAAAAAAAAUACCCAGUUGCAAUUCAGAAUUCUGAAGGAUCUUUGGAAAGCAAUAACCUACAGGACAUAAUUGACAUUCCAAAACUAAAAUCUGAUCUACCUCUAGCAAUGAAAUUAUACUACCCUGGAAAGACUGCUAUAAUAAAUCUACUUAAGAGUGUUAAAAUGCAGCCAUUAAAGUGGCCAAGAAAAUAUUAAUGUCCUAACAUUACAUGUUUUAUGUUACUUCCUUAUAACCUCAAGAUACAUUAGUAGUAAAAUGUAUCCCUAGGCUAGACUCCUAAAUGAGUUGACAUGCUGUGUAAAGUUAGUGGAUACAGAACAAUUAAAUUUUGAAAGUUGCAACUGCAAAACUUCAGUUUUUUUCUUCCAUGAAUUACUGGUCACUGGUGUCAGUCCUUUUUGGGAGGGGCAGAGAAGCCAUCUCUUCUUUGGUUUUAAAAACAUUCAUUUCUCUUGGUUCUUUACCUUAUUUUCUGAUCCUUUUUGCUCAUAUUCCUUCCCAAAAUAUUCUCCUUUUUUGGUAUUUCAUCUGGUGGUAUCAAAUAGGGCCUUUAUCCUUGUUCUUUUUCUACCAAGGUAUUUUCUAGGAAAUCCAAUCCUUUCCUCUCAUCUCCUUUCCUCCCCUCCCGUCUCUACAACCUG